ACUUCCCCUGGGCAAGGGGGUGUGGUAUGGAAAAGAUCUCAAGUUCAUCAGCUACUACAUGAUUGCAGAGACACAUUUUGAAAGAGAAGAAUGCCAAUGGAGUGGCAAUUUUUGGAGCAGCAGUGAUUAUUUAAGUAGAUCCUGGUCUGCAUUGGUCAAGGUGGAUGGGGCUCUAAGCAAAUUGACCUAGUCAAGAGAAUGUCUCUGCUCACUGCAAGAGGAUUGAACUAGAUUACUUUUAAAGGCCACAUACAACCUAAAACAUCCCUCUUCUUCAGAAGCAACUCCAUUCCAGAAACUGCUUAAUAUAAAUCACAAGACAGCAGCCCGAUUAGUAAAUCCUUUUUGGAAGAAGAUGCAGUAAUCUAGGCACAGUUGUUUUUUUCACCUGGUGUACUUCCCUUCUGACUGCAGCUAUCCAUUUCCCAACCAGGCAGAAGUGCAAAGCGAGCAACUGCCCAGUCUGUGCCUACACACAUGAUCUACAGCAGAGCUCUACCAUGGCCACUAUAAUCACUAUCACCACAGAAACGGUAAUUAUUGAUGGAGGAUUCUACCUAGUACUGUUUGCCAUAUUGCUCUUUGUUACAGUAUAAAUAACCUCUUUUCUAUCUAAAAUGAUUCAACUGUGCUUUUAUAGAACAUUGAUAUGUGCUCAAAUACAUUAGUUUUAUAGUAAAAGUCUCAUUAAUUAA